GAGGUAUUUUGACUGUGCUAAGGUAGCGAAGUCAUUAGUUCUUUUAUUGAGAACUUGUAUGAGUGGGGGUUUGGAAAGCUUUGAUUAAGGGUUUAUGUUUUGAAUUUUAUUUAUCUAUGAAAAAUUGGCUGUAUCUUCAAAGACGAGAAGACCCUAAAAUCUUUAUUUUAAUUGGAUUUAGAUUAAUUUUUAUUUGGGGUAAAUUGGUUUUUUUAAAUUUAUUUUUUUUAUGUUGAACUUUUUUAGGCUGAUGGGAUAGAUACUUUAGGGUUAACAGGAUAAUUUCUUUAAGGAGUUCUUAUUUUUGGAAAAGGUUGUUACCUCGAUGUUGGCUUUUGA
rnacentral:rRNA from 1 species